UGGAAGAACAUCAAAAGAAGUGACAAAUAAAACAGAAAAAGGAUGUUCGCUGGGUGUGUUUCUGUCUCCCCUGUCUGUUCUGUCUGUGUGUGUCUGUUGGCUCCAGGCUUCACACAGCUGUUCGUAAUCCAACAAUGAUCCUCAGCCUACUCACCUGCCUCUCAUCAUCCUGUUUACCUGCAGAUUAUCACCCGCCUGCUCGCUUCCUGUUCACUACCUCCAGCCACACCACCUUCACCUGCACCUCCUCCACUCUCUCUGCCUUCCCUGGAUUCCCCAGCCCCGGCCCUCACCUUAGUUUGCAAUAAAGGCAUUUUAUUCUGCAACA